UGAAAAUGAGAGCGACAUGCACAUCAGAGCAGUGCAAGUGGCUGAUGCCAUCUCAUGUUAAAAAGAUUCCUGCUUGCCCAGUAACUCUGAUUGACUUCUCUUCAGCAAAGUCAAAAAAACGAAAGCUUGAGUGUUCCAUUGAUGGCUGCACAAGUACACAAAAGUUAUGGAUGCAAACAUGAAGCACAAGCCAGAGGAGCAUAUGAGAAGCUUAUGAGCCAGGAGCAUGCAGGCUUCUCAUGUAUGGACAGCGGUCUCUGGCUGAACCCCAAGUGGCCAUACAUGGGGUCCUCCCUGAUGGGAUAGUCACUUGUGACUGUCAUGGAACUGGC
ensembl:lncRNA